AUGUUUGUCCGGCAAUACGAAGGCUUUGGGUCGCCCAAUUAAAAUCGAUGAUCGGUCUUUGAAAUUGGAACGUGGUCACUCUGUUAGAAUCUGUGUGGAGAUCGAUCUUUCUUCUCCCCUCCAUCAGCGAGUGUGGAUCGGUGCUGCCCAGACCUGGUAUUUCUAGGUUGCUCGUAUAAUAACUUGCCUUUCUCUACUUUCGUUGUGGUUGUGUUGGCCACAAGCUGUCGGAUUGCUCUACUAGGCUGGUUGAGAGGCAGAGUGCUGGUGUCCAGAGGUUGGAUGCCCUUGGAAACGAGGGAACCCUUCUGGUGCCCACUUUGGCAUCAUCCACUAGUGGGAAUGUUCGGCCGACGGUGGAGGGUGAAGUUUAUGGACCUUGGAUUAGGGUCCAGCGGCGUGGUUCCAGGAAGAGAUUUGUGCCGGCGCUGGGAAGGGGAUUGGCAGUGGCGGCGGAGGCUGUUCCUUCUUCCACACGUGAGGCGCACGUGGUGUAACGGUCUUCUGGGGAAGCUGGAUGUUAUUACCGUGCAGGGGGCUUGAGGACAAAUGAUGCUUUUUUUACUCAGGUGGAGCGAUUGGGGGACCCCAAGGCAGAUGGGGUUUCACCCGGAUCCAGCUGGCUCGUUGGAACAGAUGCCGAGUCAGAUGGGGUUUCACCCGGAUCCAGCUGGAUCGUUGGAACAGAUGCCGAGUCAGGCCCACCCCCGCGGGCCUGAGUUGGAGGCCACGAGGCUGUCAACUGGAGUCUGCUUCAGCUUACGUGCUCCUGUGGUACCCAAACCCGUGGAGAUGCCGUUGCUGAGUCAAGCCCAGCCUGGUGCGAAGCGUCAGGUGCUGAUGGGGAGCCCGAGGCGGGCUGUUGUGACCGCCUGUGUUGGCUCGUCUAGCAUCGUGGUGCCUCGGCAUCGUCAUUGGAUUUGAUGAUCUCACUCCUCCCCCGCCGACGGUUGAGGUGUAGGGGGUAUAUAUCCCUUCUGCUCCUGUGCAGGGGAAGAGGGGGAGUAAGGAGGUGGCCAAGGCCAAUGUCACCACAAUGAUCUCACUGCUAAAGCCCAAGAGAGGACCGGGUUGCGGCUCCAAGGCCUCUCAUGGGGAAACCCAUUCGGACGAGAUAGUGAUUAGGAGGGUUGCAAGGAGACUGGGUCGUUCUUGGUGCUUUACCGCGUUUCCGUCGGCGGGAGCCUCUGGUGGCAUCGCGCUGCUAUGGAACGCAUCAUUUGUCAAGACCCAGGUGCUUUCGAUCCAUUCUCAUUACUUCAAUGCUGCGGUCAGAUUUAUGAAUUCGGAUCCGUGGAUUUUAACUGGUGGUUAUGCUAGAGUUUCUAUUACAAAUCGAAACUUACUGUGGAAUUCUCUUGGUGCAAUUGAUCUAAAUCAUUUUCCAUGGAUAAUUUGUGGAGACUAUAAUUGUAUUUCUUGUGCACAAGACAUACUGGGGGUACCGCUUUUACG